UAUGAAGCUGGAAUCGCUAGUAAUCGUAGAUCAGCAUGCUACGGUGAAUACGUUCCCGGGUCUUGUACACACCGCCCGUCACACCACGAGAGUUUGUAACACCCGAAGCCGGUGGAGUAACCAUUUGGAGCUAGCCGUCGAAGGUGGGACAAAUGAUUGGGGUGAAGUCGUAACAAGGUAGCCGUAUCGGAAGGUGCGGCUGGAUCACCUCCUUU
rnacentral:rRNA from 1 species